UACGAAGGGGGCUAGCGUUGCUCGGAAUCACUGGGCGUAAAGGGUGCGUAGGCGGGUCUUUAAGUCAGAGGUGAAAUCCUGGAGCUCAACUCCAGAACUGCCUUUGAUACUGAAGAUCUUGAGUUCGGGAGAGGUGAGUGGAACUGCGAGUGUAGAGGUGAAAUUCGUAGAUAUUCGCAAGAACACCAGUGGCGAAGGCGGCUCACUGGCCCGAUACUGACGCUGAGGCGCGAAAGCGUGGGGAGCAAACAGG
rnacentral:rRNA from 1 species